rnacentral:rRNA from 1 species
UGAGCUUGAUCCUGGCUCAGGACGAACGCUGGCGGCGUGCCUAAUACAUGCAAGUCGAGCGCAGGAAGCCGGCGGAUCCCUUCGGGGUGAAGCCGGUGGAAUGAGCGGCGGACGGGUGAGUAACACGUGGGCAACCUACCUUGUAGACUGGGAUAACUCCGGGAAACCGGGGCUAAUACCGGAUGAUCAUUUGGAUCGCAUGAUCCGAAUGUAAAAGUGGGGAUUUAUCCUCACACUGCAAGAUGGGCCCGCGGCGCAUUAGCUAGUUGGUAAGGUAAUGGCUUACCAAGGCGACGAUGCGUAGCCGACCUGAGAGGGUGAUCGGCCACACUGGAACUGAGACACGGUCCAGACUCCUACGGGAGGCAGCAGUAGGGAAUCAUCCGCAAUGGGCGAAAGCCUGACGGUGCAACGCCGCGUGAACGAUGAAGGUUUUCGGAUCGUAAAGUUCUGUUAUGAGGGAAGAACAAGUGCCGUUCGAAUAGGUCGGCACCUUGACGGUACCUCACGAGAAGCCCGACU